AUUGAACGCUGGCCGCAGGCCUAACACAUGCAAGUUGAGCGGAUGAAGGGAGCUUGCUCCUGGAUUCAGCGGCGGACGGGUGAGCAAUGCCUAGGAAUCUGCCUGGUAGUGGGGGACAACGUUUCGAAAGGAACGCUAAUACCGCAUACGUCCUACGGGAGAAAGCAGGGGACCUUCGGGCCUUGCGCUAUCAGAUGAGCCUAGGUCGGAUUAGCUAGUUGGUGAGGUAAUGGCUCACCAAGGCGACGAUCCGUAACUGGUCUGAGAGGAUGAUCAGUCACACUGGAACUGAGACACGGUCCAGACUCCUACGGGAGGCAGCAGUGGGGAAUAUUGGACAAUGGGCGAAAGCCUGAUCCAGCCAUGCCGCGUGUGUGAAGAAGGUCUUCGGAUUGUAAAGCACUUUAAGUUGGGAGGAAGGGUUGUAGAUUAAUACUCUGCAAUUUUGACGUUACCGACAGAAUAAGCACCGGCUAACUCUGUGCCAGCCGCCGCCGUAAAAC
rnacentral:rRNA from 1 species